UACGAAGGGGACUAGCGUUGUUCGGAAUCAUUGGGCGUAAAGAGCACGUAGGCGGAUUCGUAAGUCAGGGGUGAAAUCCCGGGGCUCAACCUCGGAACUGCCUUUGAUACUGCGGGUCUUGAGUCCGAUAGAGGUGGGUGGAAUUCCUAGUGUAGAGGUGAAAUUCGUAGAUAUUAGGAAGAACACCGGUGGCGAAGGCGGCCCACUGGAUCGGUACUGACGCUGAGGUGCGAAAGCGUGGGGAGCGAACAGG
rnacentral:rRNA from 1 species